ACGUGGACUUCUUGCUGGAAAAGAUGGAAACUUUUGAAUUUUAUAACGUCUUGGAAGAAUAUUUGUCGCCUGAAAAUUUUAACUCCAUUCAAAUGAAGAGGGAGCGAAAUGAAAUGCGAUGAUGCCUGGUGGUAACCAGCCUUCCAAGUGGCUGAACAGAUUCCAGUGUACCUGAAUUCUGAGACACAACUGGAUGUUCUUUUCUUCUGCUUUUAAGAUUUCCAAUUCGAGAUGAUGUGCAGUUCAUGUUAGAUUUGCUAUUUCUACAGUUACAGUGAAGUAGAAGAGUCUGGCCGUGUUAUGGGGCAGCAGUUAAAGAAGAAGGAAGGAGAGAUUUGUGCCCUGUUGAAGUAGUGGCUGGUCCUCCUGCCCGCACUUCUAGAAUCCUCCAUCUCAACCUCUGCUCUGAUCUGCUGUGCCUUUGCCAAGUGAUCACGAGUUUAUUGCAAUGGUGCCCCCUGCAUCUCCACUGUCCGUUACAUCAACUGAAACUGCCUGUGAUGCCGGAGAGAAGAAAAGUUCACAAGACGUCUUGGAAUGGAA